rnacentral:rRNA from 1 species
AGAGUUUGAUCCUGGCUCAGAUUGAACGCUGGCGGAAUGCUUUACACAUGCAAGUCGAACGGUAGAGGGGGCAACCCCUCGAGAGUGGCGAACGGGUGAGUAAUAUAUCGGAACGUGCCCAGUCGUGGGGGAUAACGUAGCGAAAGUUACGCUAAUACCGCAUACGAUCUACGGAUGAAAGCGGGGGACUCGCAAGAGCCUCGCGCGAUUGGAGCGGCCGAUAUCAGAUUAGGUAGUUGGUGGGGUAAAGGCUCACCAAGCCAACGAUCUGUAGCUGGUCUGAGAGGACGACCAGCCACACUGGAACUGAGACACGGUCCAGACUCCUACGGGAGGCAGCAGUGGGGAAUUUUGGACAAUGGACGCAAGUCUGAUCCAGCCAUUCCGCGUGCAGGAUGAAGGCCCUCGGGUUGUAAACUGCUUUUGUACGGAACGAAAAGGUCUCUAUUAAUACUAGGGGCUCAUGACGGUACCGUAAGAAUAAGCACCGGCUAACUACGUGCCAGCAGCCGCGGUAAUACGUAGGGUGCAAGCGUUAAUCGGAAUUACUGGGCGUAAAGCGUGCGCAGGCGGUUAUGUAAGACAGAGGUGAAAUCCCCGGGCUCAACCUGGGAACUGCCUUUGUGACUGCAUAGCUAGAGUACGGUAGAGGGGGAUGGAAUUCCGCGUGUAGCAGUGAAAUGCGUAGAUAUGCGGAGGAACACCGAUGGCGAAGGCAAUCCCCUGGACCUGUACUGACGCUCAUGCACGAAAGCGUGGGGAGCAAACAGGAUUAGAUACCCUGGUAGUCCACGCCCUAA